rnacentral:tRNA from 1 species
GCCUUCAUGGUGUAACGGUAGCACACUUGGAUCGUAUUCGAGAGGUCCAGGUUCGAGUUCCGGCGAGGGCA